rnacentral:rRNA from 1 species
AAAGCUAGGGUAGCGACGGGAUUAGAAACCCGUAGUCCUAGCUGUAAACGAUGGAUGCUAGAUGUAGGGGUGUAGAUUCCCUCUGUGUCGUAGCUAACGCGUUAAGCAUCCCGCCUGGGGACUACGGCCGCAAGGCUAAAACUCAAACGAAUUGACGGGGGCCCGCACAAGCAGCGGAGCGUGUGGUUUAAUUCGAUGCUACACGAAGAACCUUACCUGGGCUUGACAUGUAGGUAGUAGCGAAGCGAAAGCGGAGCGACCCUUCGGGGAGCCUACACAGGUGCUGCAUGGCUGUCGUCAGCUCGUGCCGUGAGGUGUCGGGUUAAGUCCCGUAACGAGCGCAACCCCUGCUCUUAGUUAUACGUGUCUAAGAGGACUGCCGGCGGCAAGCCGGAGGAAGGUGGGGAUGACGUCAAGUCAGCAUGGCCUUUAUGUCCAGGGCUACACACACGCUACAAUGGCCGAUACAAUGGGUUGCGAAACCGCGAGGUGGAGCCAAUCCUCCAAAGUCGGUCUCAGUUCGGAUUGCAGGCUGCAACUCGCCUGCAUGAAGUCGGAGUUGCUAGUAAUCGCAGGUCAGCAAUACUGCGGUGAAUAUGUUCCCGGGCCUUGUACACACCGCCCGUCACGUCAUGGAAGCUGGCAACACCUGAAACCGGUGGGCUAACCCGAGAGGGAGGCCGUCGUCUAAGGUGGGGCUGGUGACUGGGACGAAGUCGUAACAAGGUAACC